GCCUGCGAAGGGAUACUCGUGAGAGAUCCUGGAGGUAUCAGAAGUGCAAAUGUUGACAUGAGUAACGAUAAAGAGGGUGAGAGACCCUCUCGCCGAAAGACCAAGGGUUCCUGCUUAAAGUUAAUCUGAGCAGGGUUAGCCGGCUCCUAAGGCGAGGCCGAAAGGCGUAGUCGAUGGAUAACAGGUUAAUAUUCCUGUACCACUUAUGUAGCAUUUGAGCAACGGGUUGACGAAGGAGGCUAGGUUAACCUCGUGGAUGGUCGAGCGGGGCCAAGCGUGUAGGGAGAGAAUCUAGGAAAAUCCGGAUUCUUGUUAAUCCUGAGACGUGAAGGGGGACAAUAGUCUGUAGUAACCGAUGCCAUGCUUCCAAGAAAAUUCUCGUAAAGCGAGUUGCAUAAGUGACCGUACUAAAACUGACACAGGUAGGUGAGGAGAGAAUCCUAAGGCGCUCGAGAUAACCUCUGUUAAGGAACUCGGCAAAUUCACCCCGUAACUUUGGGAGAAGGGGUACCCUUGAUGGUGAAAGACGUACGUCUGGAGCUGUUGGGGGGCGCAGUGAAAAGGCCCGGG
rnacentral:rRNA from 12 species